rnacentral:miRNA from 1 species
UGCAUUCCUGUUUGUG